AAUCAACGCUGGCGGCGUGCCUCAGACAUGCAAGUCGAACGAUUAAACUUUCCUUCGGGAAAGAUAUAAAGUGGCGCACGGGUGAGUAACACGUAAGUAAUCUACCUUCGGAUGGGGAAUAACAGUCGGAAACGACUGCUAAUACCGCAUAAUGCAGCGGCACCUAAUGGUGACAGUUGUUAAAGUAUUUAUACGUCUGGAGAGGAGCUUGCGGCAGAUUAGCUAGUUGGUAAGGAAUGGCUUACCAAGGCUACGAUCUGUAGCCGACCUGAGAGGGUGGUCGGUCACACUGACACUGAAUAACGGGUCAGACUCCUACGGGAGGCAGCAGUCGGGAAUUUUGGGCAAUGGGCGAAAGCCUGACCCAGCAACGCCGCGUGAAGGAU
rnacentral:rRNA from 1 species